rnacentral:piRNA from 1 species
UAUUCAUUAAAAUUUCACAAA